AAGUCGUAACAAGGUUUCCGUAGGUGAACCUGCGGAAGGAUCAUUAUCGAAACGUAACGAGGCGACUGCUGCUGACGUCCUCUGGACGUAUGUGCGCGUCCCUCGCAUUUCAUCCCACAUACACUUGUGCACGAUAGGACGAGUGCCUCCCAUGAGGAGCCGUCUCACGCGAGUGGGGCCGAGGUCUCGAUCCUCUUUACAUUACAUCCUGUCUAUUACGCAUGUCACGAAGUUAUUAAUAAUACAACUUUCAACAACGGAUCUCUUGGCUUUC
rnacentral:misc_RNA from 1 species